UGGGGAAUUUUGGACAAUGGGGGCAACCCUGAUCCAGCCAUGCCGCGUGCGGGAAGAAGGCCUUCGGGUUGUAAACCGCUUUUAGUCGGGAAGAAAAGGUUAUCCCUAAUAAGGAUGACUCUUGACGGUACCGGCGGAAUAAGCACCGGCUAACUACGUGCCAGCAGCCGCGGUAAUACGUAGGGUGCGAGCGUUAAUCGGAAUUACUGGGCGUAAAGCGUGCGCAGGCGGUUCGUUAAGUUCGUCGUGAAAGCCCCGGGCUCAACCUGGGAACUGCGAUGGAAACUGGCGGGCUUGAGUAUGGCAGAGGGGGGUGGAAUUCCGCGUGUAGCAGUGAAAUGCGUAGAGAUGCGGAGGAACACCGAUGGCGAAGGCAGCCCCCUGGGCCAAUACUGACGCUCAGGCACGAAAGCGUGGGGAGCAAACA
rnacentral:rRNA from 1 species